AACGCUAGCUACAGGCUURACACRUGCAAGUCGAGGGGCAKCNNUAGGUAGCAAUACUGAGGUGGCGACCGGCGCACGGGNGCGUAACGCGUAUCCAACCUUCCCCUUACUCAGGAAUAACCCGUUGAAAGACGGAUUAAUGCCUGAUGUUCUCUGUUUCCGGCAUCGGUAACAGAGCAAAGAUUCAUCGGUAAGGGAUGGGGAUGCGUAUGAUUAGCUUGUUGGCGGGGUAACGGCCCACCAAGGCGACGAUCAUUAGGGGUUCUGAGAGGAAGGUCCCCCACACUGGAACUGAGACACGGUCCAGACUCCUACGGGAGGCAGCAGUGAGGAAUAUUGGUCAAUGGAGGCAACUCUGAACCAGCCAAGUAGCGUGCAGGAUGACGGCCCUAUGGGUUGUAAACUGCUUUUAUGCGGGGAUAAAUGAUCCUACGUGUAGGAUUUUGCAGGUACCGCAUGAAUAAGGACCGGCUAAUUCCGUGCCAGCAGCCGCGGUAAUACGGAAGGUCCAGGCGUUAUCCGGAUUUAUUGGGUUUAAAGGGAGCGUAGGUGGACUGGUAAGUCAGUUGUGAAAGUUUGCGGCUCAACCGUAAAAUUGCAGUUGAUACUGUCAGUCUUGAGUACAGUAGAGGUGGGCGGAAUUCGUGGUGUAGCGGUGAAAUGCUUAGAUAUCACGAAGAACUCCGAUUG
rnacentral:rRNA from 1 species